GGACCCGCACAAGCAGCGGAGCAUGUGGUUUAAUUCGAAGCAACGCGAAGAACCUUACCAAGGUUUGACAUCCCCUUGACAAGUGCAGAGAUGUGCUCUCUUCUUCGGAAGCAAGGGAGACAGGUGGUGCAUGGUUGUCGUCAGCUCGUGUCGUGAGAUGUUGGGUUAAGUCCCGCAACGAGCGCAACCCUUAUCCUUAGUUGUCAGCAGAUAAAGCUGGACCCUCUAAGGAGACUGCCGGUGAUAAACCGGAGGAAGGUGGGGAUGACGUCAAAUCAUCAUGCCCCUUAUAUCUUGGGCUACACACGUGCUACAAUGGUCGGUACAAAGGGGAGCGAAGGAGCGAUCCGGAGCAAAUCCCAAUAAACCGAUCCCAGUUCGGAUUGUAGGCUGCAACUCGCCUACAUGAAGUCGGAGUUGCUAGUAAUCGCGAAUCAGCACGUCGCGGUGAAUGCGUUCCCGGGUCUU
rnacentral:rRNA from 1 species